rnacentral:rRNA from 1 species
UGGGGAAUUUUGGACAAUGGGCGAAAGCCUGAUCCAGCAAUGCCGCGUGUGUGAAGAAGGCCUUCGGGUUGUAAAGCACUUUUGUCCGGAAAGAAAUGGCUCUGGUUAAUACCUGGGGUCGAUGACGGUACCGGAAGAAUAAGGACCGGCUAACUACGUGCCAGCAGCCGCGGUAAUACGUAGGGUCCAAGCGUUAAUCGGAAUUACUGGGCGUAAAGCGUGCGCAGGCGGUUGUGCAAGACCGAUGUGAAAUCCCCGAGCUUAACUUGGGAAUUGCAUUGGUGACUGCACAGCUAGAGUGUGUCAGAGGGGGGUAGAAUUCCACGUGUAGCAGUGAAAUGCGUAGAGAUGUGGAGGAAUACCGAUGGCGAAGGCAGCCCCCUGGGAUAACACUGACGCUCAUGCACGAAAGCGUGGGGAGCAAACAGG